AUGGCACAGCCCCUGCCAGGAACUCAGAGGCCGAAAUCCAUACCCUCCCGUCCCUGCCUUCGCUUCCCCAACUGCUCCUGUUCCUUCGCUCCCCUGUUACCCCCUGUCUCCUGCAGAGCCUCCCCUGUUCUCGGGUCUCGUCCUCCUGGUCCCCACCUCGUCCUCCUGGUCCCCACCUCGUCCUCUUGGUCCCCAACUUCUCCUCCUGGUCCCCACCUUGUCCUCCUGGUCCCCACCUCGUCCUCUUGGUCCCCACCUUGUCCUCUUGGUCCCCACCUUCUCCUCCUGGUCCCACCUCAUCCUCCUGGUCCCCACCUCGCUCGUCCUCCUGGUCCCCACCUCAUCCUCCUGGUCCCCACCUCGCUCGUCCUCCUGGUCCCCACCUCAUCCUCCUGGUCCCCACCUCGUCCUCCUGGUCCCCACCUCGCUCGUCCUCCUGGUCCCCACCUCAUCCUCCUGGUCCCCACCUCGCUCGUCCUCCUGGUCCCCACCUCAUCCUCCUGGUCCCCACCUCGUCCUCCUGGUCCCCACCUCCUCCUCCUGGUCCCCACCUCAUCCUCCUGGUCCCCACCUCGUCCUCCUGGUCCCCACCUUGCUCGUCCUCCUGGUCCCCACCUCAUCCUCCUGGUCCCCACCUCGCUCGUCCUCCUGGUCCCCACCUCAUCCUCCUGGUCCCCACCUCGUCCUCCUGGUCCCCACCUCCUCCUCCUGGUCCCCACCUCCUCCUCUUGGUCCCCACCUUCUCCUCCUGGUCCCCACCUCCUCCUCCUGGUCCCCACCUCGUCCUCCUGGUCCCCACCUCCUCCUCCUGGUCCCCACCUCGUCCUCCUGGUCCCCACCUCCUCCUCCUGGUCCCCACCUCGUCCUCCUGGUCCCCACCUCCUCCUCCUGGUCCCCACCUCGUCCUCCUGGUCCCCACCUCCUCCUCCUGGUCCCCACCUCGUCCUCCUGGUCCCCACCUCCUCCUCCUGGUCCCCACCUCGUCCUCCUGGUCCCCACCUCCUCCUCCUGGUCCCCACCUCGUCCUCCUGGUCCCCACCUCCUCCUCUUGGUCCCCACCUUCUCCUCCUGGUCCCCACCUCCUCCUUCAGAACUGCCAACUGCUCCUACCCUUCCCCUUUAGCUGAUGGUUCUUUCGCCUGCCUGAGGACUCACGGCUGGCAGAGAGCAUCUCCCAAGUGUCCAGCUGGCUCUUAUCAGAGGAAGACGGAGGAAGGUGGAGGGCGGGGGGAGGGAAUUACAAGUGUCUGCUUGUCCUGCUUUUCUGUAACUUCUGAUCGUCAGGAAACAAAGAUGUCCACCAGGAUGCUCACCCUUGCCGCGGGCCCUUGCAGUCCACUUCCUAGCCACGUGUUCCCAGUUAGCACACUCUAA
rnacentral:lncRNA from 1 species